UGGGAGGCUGAUACACAAAUUGGGCUGAAAUACUGCUCUAAUUGUCACCAUAAUUCCCUAGACUAAAAGCUGCCUUUUGAUGACCAAGACAAAUUAAGUGAAAUUGUAACGGACAGAUACGGGGGCAGACAAUU
rnacentral:snoRNA from 1 species